UUGGAGGGCAAGUCUGGUGCCAGCAGCCGCGGUAAUUCCAGCUCCAAUAGCGUAUAUUAAAGUUGUUGCAGUUAAAAAGCUCGUAGUUGAAUUUCGGGAUCAAUUAAUUGGUCGUGCCUCUGGUACGUACUGAUUUUAUUGGUUUCUCCCUUCUGACGAACCAUGAUGUCAUUAAUUUGGUGUCGUGGAGAAUCAGGACUGUUACUUUGAAAAAAUUAGAGUGUUUAAAGCAAGCUAACGCUUGAAUACAUUAGCAUGGAAUAAUGAAAUAGGACGUUUGACCCUAUUUUGUUGGUUUCUAGGAUCGACGUAAUGAUUAAUAGGGAUAGUUGGGGGCAUUAGUAUUCAAUUGUCAGAGGUGAAAUUCUUGGAUUUAUUGAAGACUAACUACUGCGAAAGCAUUUGCCAAGGAUGUUUUCAUUAAUCAAGAACGAAAAUUAGGGGAUCGAAGACGAUCAGAUACCGUCGUAGUCUUAACCAUAAACUAUGCCGACUAGGGAUCGGAUGAUGUUAAUUUUUUAAUGACUCAUUCGGCGCCUUACGGGAAACCAAAGUGUUUGGGUUC
rnacentral:rRNA from 1 species